rnacentral:rRNA from 1 species
UGCAGUCGAGGGGCAGCGGAAGAAGUAGCUUGCUACUUCUGCCGGCGACCGGCGCACGGGUGCGUAACGCGUAUGCAACCUACCUUUAACAGGGGGAUAAUCCGAAGAAAUUUGGUCUAAUACCCCAUAAUAUUUCAGAAGGCAUCUUUUGAGGUUGAAAACUCCGGUGGUUAAAGAUGGGCAUGCGUUGUAUUAGCUAGAUGGUGAGGUAACGGCUCACCAUUGCGAUGAUACAUAGGGGGACUGAGAGGUUUUCCCCCCACACUGGUACUGAGACACGGACCAGACUCCUACGGGAGGCAGCAGUGAGGAAUAUUGGUCAAUGGACGCAAGUCUGAACCAGCCAUGCCGCGUGCAGGAUGAAGGUGCUAUGCAUUGUAAACUGCUUUUGUACGAGGGUAAAUUCAGAUACGUGUAUCUGUUUGAAAGUAUCGUACGAAUAAGGAUCGGCUAACUCCGUGCCAGCAGCCGCGGUAAUACGGAGGAUCCGAGCGUUAUCCGGAUUUAUUGGGUUUAAAGGGUGCGUAGGCGGUUUGAUAAGUUAGAGGUGAAAGCUCGAUGCUCAACAUCGAAAUUGCCUCUGAUACUGUCAGACUAGAGUGUAGUUGCGGAAGGCGGAAUGUGUGGUGUAGCGGUGAAAUGCUUAGAUAUCACACAGAACACCGAUUGCGAAGGCAGCUUUCCAAGCUAUUACUGACGCUGAGGCACGAAAGCGUGGGUAGCGAACAGGAUUAGAUACCCUGGUAGUCCACGCCGUAAACGAUGAUAACUCGUUGCCGGCGAUAUAGUGUCGGUGACUAAGCGAA